UCACCUUGAAGGCUUCUGCUACGGGGUGCCCCAGCCCAGCGAGGAGAAGAGCUGCCAGCAGCGCCCAGCCCUGGAACAACACAGCGGGACUCGGCGCUUUCUCGUGGGCUGCUGCUGAGCCCUAGGGCGACGCGUUUCUAUGGCCCCUGCCCCGCAGGCCCCCUGAGAGCAAAAUCUCUGGCUUCUUCACAGACAAAAUAUACCCUUAUUGGAAGGAAUUCCCUUGUGCAGGGAUGACCAGUUGAUGACCAGUGUUUAUCCCGGAGCUUUAGCUGGCCUUUUGGAAUGGAGCUUCUUUUACAUAAGGACAGAACCGUUGGGCUUGAUUUUACAUUCAGUAGAGAGCAGAGUUUGACAUCAGUGGACUUUGGGGGAGGCCCACAAUAGCAGCUGCAUGACAUGCCCAGUUUCCUACAUCAUCAGAGGGACAGAGAAAUGCAAAAUUCUGACCCGACCAUUGUGCAAUGGCUCCACACAUGAGCAAGGUGCUGAGAUGUGGCAGCAGUGAGUGCCAUAGGAAAGGCCUCCAAUCGCUUCUAAUACUGUAAGCCCAGAACUGCAGGAAUUGCUGAUCGAGGCAGCUGGGGCCCCAGAGUUACCUCCUUUCUCAUGUUCCAAACUUCUACAUUUGGGACAAGGUUAUAUUUAAUGAAAACUACUGUGGCUGGAUAGAACUACUAUGGGACAGCGAGGCUCAGCUCCCCCAAAGGAAUGUCAACACCUAGCUCUCUGAGAAUCUCCUGGCUCUAGUGCCUGGCCAGGAAUCUGUCUUCGUUUCAUGGUUCUACCCCAAAGAUGUCUCCAAUAGGUGAUCCUUCAGCCAUGGGUUUGGAAGCUGUUUGAGUGCCUGGUUGAUCUUAUGAUUAAUAUUAAAUCUGUUAGUUGUGGUUAUCAAUGCCAAAUCAGCCUUCACACCUGAUUGUAACAAUCACUUAAGUACCAGAGCUAGCUUUCCCAUUUUCCAGGCUUUAGGUAUUUAAUUGCCAAGAAAAUCAGGCUGGUGUGGAAGAAUUAAGAAGAGAGUGGGGGAUCAGGAACUCCCCUGCCAUUGACUUUCACUGAGGCUCUCAGUACAAUGAAAAUAGUUCUAUUUAAUCACUUCACAGUUGCACUGAGAGGAUUAAAUUGUUAAUUGAACAGAUUCCAAAAGGUGCUCAGCACCUGCAACUCCUACUGAUUUCUGUGGGAAUAGCAGCUAGUUCCCCUUUGGAUCUGUAUCUACAGUUUAUAUAGCACUUUGAAGAUAUAAUAGUGGGAUUUUCAGAAAUACUCAGCAAACCAUUCACUUUAAUAGGAGCAGAAGUAGACCAGCUGUGAACUUUUCAACAUCCCACCCAUAAAGUGCUGUCUAGAGGGCAAUAAGUAUUAUUCACUGCUCCAUUUUGCACAUUUCCGUCUAACCUUUUAUCAUCCUAAUUGCUCUUUUGUGGGCACAUCCCCCAUCUUUAUUUUCUUCCUGUAGCGCCAAGCCCAGAAUUAUACACAUGCCUUUAGCAGUGGUGUAAUCUGAUCAGAGAAUUACCAUGAGUGUUACAUGUGAUAUCCCCAUUAGACAUUUCGGAUUAAGUAGGUUAUCCAGAUAUUGGACUGACUUUGUGAACUGGAUGCCUGAUGUCUGUUAAUUUUGUACAACAAGAGAAGUUUUGUUACUUAUAUGUGACACAGAUGCAUACUUUGUGAUUCCCACUGGUUUGCCAAGCUGGGAUCUGACCACAUUGUAAGUUUCUGCUACAGCACUGCUCUGGUAAGGACAGAUAGAAAAUAAGUGCCUUUUUGUUCUCUUAUACUAAUGAUACAGGAAAAGAGGGAGUAAGAGACCAACUACCACAUUACCGGUCAAUUAUGAACAAAUAACUAAAUCUAGAAUCUAAUAAAACUAUUCAACACAAAAUUUAUUCAAUAUUUGUAAGUCAGUCGGCUAUUAAUCAAAGUUGAAAAUCAGGACUUUACUAAGAACUGAUCAGAAGCCUACUGAAGUCAAUGGAAAGUCUCCUAUUAACUUCAAUGGGAUUCGGUGGAGUUAAUCACCACAAAAUGCUUCUGGUGUGACAUCCUGCUAAACUAUCCACUUCCUCAUAUAGCAUCAAGACAUCUUUGCUCUCCUUCCCCAUUCCAGGCUACAGUGGAGAAGGGUGGUUGCUUUCUUUUCCUGAGGGUGGGAGAAAAGAGAAAAACCCCUUUUUUUGUAGCAGAGAGGAUUGACAGAAAUAAGACAAGAAACCCUCCCUCCAUGCAGAAGUCUCUCUUUCUUGUUUAUAAACUAAUUACUUAGGACAUAAAAAUGUUUACAAAUGUUUGCCAUGUUCAUAUCAGAAACAAAACAGUAACUGCUACAGUAAUAGUGAUUUGAGCUAUUUGGGUAUUUAUCAGAUUAGAGUGAGCAUCAUUACAACACAUCCAAUACUUUGUUUCUAAGUGUAUUAAAUUGUGUGAAACCUCUAAUUACUUAUUUAACAGAGCAGAUGCAUCUAUUGAGUAUCAAUACUAAAAACCAACCAACUGACAACUCUCCUCCCCCUCAA